rnacentral:lncRNA from 1 species
CUGUAUGGUGGUGGGGUCUCCAUAUGUCUUUGGGGGCGUUCCCAUGUGUUCCCAUUGACUCCCAGUGUCUUUGGGGUUGGGGGGGGGUCCAUUGUCUUUGGGGGGGGGGUUCCAUUCGGUUCCAUGACCCCAUUGUCUUUUGGAGGGGGGUCCAUUGUCUUUAUGGGGGGGGUUCUCCUUUAUUUUUAUUUGGGGGGGGGUCUCCAUUCUUUCUUUAUGGGGGGGGGGUCCCCCUUAUGUUCUUUAUGGGGGGGUCUCCAUUCUCUUUUAAUGGGGGGUCCCCUUAUUCAUUUAUGGGGGGGUCCCCCAUUAUUCUUAUUGGGGGGGUCUCCAUUCUUCUUUAUGGGGGGGGGUCUCCAUUCUUCUUUAUGGGGGGGGGUCUCCAUUCUUCUUUAUGGGGGGGGUCCCCCUAUUCUUCUUUAUGGGGGGGGGUCUCCAUUAUUCUUUAUGGUUGGGGUCCCCUAUUCUUCGUGUAUAUGGGGGGGUCUGCCAUGUCUUCUUUAUUGGGCGGCUCCCCAUUUUCUUAUUGGGGGGGUUCUCCUUUAUUCUUUCAUGGGGGGUCGUCCAUUAUUCUGUUAUGGGGGGGGUCUCCAUUCUUCGUUAUUGGGGCGGGGGUUCUCCAUUCUUCUUUACUCGGGGGGCUCCAUUAUUUUCUUUGAUGGGGGGGGGUCCCCAGUUUCUCUUUAUUGGGGGGCUUCCUUUAUUCUUUAUGGGGGGGGUCUCCAUUAUCCUUUAUGGGGGGUGUCCCCAUAUUCUUCUUAUUGGGGGGGGGUCCCCCUUUAUUCUUUAUGGGGGGGGUCUCCAUUGUUCUUUAUGGGGGGUCUCCAUUAUUCUUUUAUGGGGGGGGGUCUCCAUUAUUCUUUAUGGGGGGGUCUCACAUUCUUAUCUUUAUGGGGGGCGGUCCCCAUUAUCUUCUAUGGGGGGGGUCCCCUUUUCUUUAUGGGGGGGUCUCCAUUAUUCGUUUAGUAUGGGGGGGUCCCCAUUCUUCUUUAUGGGGGGGGUCCCCAUUCUUCUUUAUGGGGGGUCCCCCUUAUGCUUUAUGGGGGGGGUCCCCCUUUAUUCUUCUUAUUGGGGGAUCUACCAUUAAUUCUUAUGAGGGGCGGGUCUCCAUUGUUCUUUGAUGGGGGGGGUCUCCCAUAUAUUCCUUAUGGGGGGGGGUCUCCAUUAUUCCUUAUGGGGGGGGUCUCCAUUAUUCCUUUAUGGGGGGGGGUCUCCAUUGUUUUUUAAUGGCGGGGGGGUCUCAGACGUAGGCGUUGCGUCCGUACUUGUCCCCAGGCUGUGGAUGAAUGAGGAUCCUAUGGGGCGGGGGGGGGGCUUCCAAAUGGGGGGGGGCUAAUUAAGUAGGGGGGGGGGUAAGGAAUGGGGGGGGGGUUAAUUAAUAGAGGGGGGGUAAUUAAUAGAGGGGGGGGUAAUUAAAUUAGGGUGGGGGGGUUUAGAAAGGGGGGGAGAGUUUUUAGAGUGGGGGGGACCCCCAAACCUCCGACCCCCCCC